CACCCUGUACCCAUAGAUCUCAGGGUGGUUCACAGAGAAAGGCAGAACCACAAACAGGGUUGGGGGCACCAAUUACUGUUUGAUAUUGACUUAGUGUAAGCAUUUAGAGGAACAGCUGGAUCUGUUUUAUGCAGCUGCAUAGAUUUAAAUGUUUGGCGUUCCCCUAUCCUGGUGUGUCAAUAUCAUUGCUUUCAAACUCUGAAAGUUCAGCAACACCCAAAACACUCAUGUUAAUUGAGUGGCUUUCUGUACAUUCAUGUUGGAUAUCCUACUCUACAAAUCACUUUUCCUUGGCUCAGUGUCUAGACCCUGGGAUGUUCACUUAUGUCAUCAUGUAUACAAGGGAGAUUGAGGAGGCCAGACCAUGCCAAAUGCACAACACACAUUGCAGUUAGGUACACAGAAGUCAUUGCCUCAGCAACGCUUGCAGCCAAGUGCUUUUUUAAAACAUUACUAACCACCACGUUUGCAUCUUAACUUUCAAGCGUGGUUCUCACACGUUCUAACCCAUGGGUAGGCAAACUAAGGCCCAGAGGCCAGAUCCGGCCCAAUCGCCUUCUAAAUCCAGCCCACAGACGGUCCGGGAAUCAGCGUGUUUUUACAUGAGUAGAAUGUGUCCUUUUAUUUAAAAUGCAUCUCUGGGUUAUUUGUGGGGCAUAGGAAUUAAUUUUUUCCCCUUCCAAAAUAUAGUCCGGCCCCUCACAAGGUCUGAGGGACAGUGGAUCGGCCCCCUGCUGAAAAGUUUGCUGACCCCUGUUCUAACUUCUUCCCUGCCUAACACUCCCUGUCCCCAGAACUGUUACUAGGUGUAGGGAAAACAGCUGCAGCAUCACUGGUUCUCAGGGGAGGAUAAUAAAAUGGAAAUGUUAAGCUACUCUUCCACGUGUUUUACAAAGAUGUGCUCAAGCCACUUCAGAAAACUUUCAGUAAUCCUUGCUGCCACCGUUCUUUUUUGUGUGUGUGGGGGGGGGGUAAUUUCUUGACUGAAUAAGAGCUUUCUACAAUGAGACCAGCAUUCGCUUACUUUUACGAGCACACACUGUCAAAGUAUACCCUAUUACCAAGAAAAUAUUAGUGACUAACAGUGAAUUUACAAGACACAUAAUUGUCCACAAUUACGGUUUCCUU